CCUACGGGAGGCAGCAGUGAGGAAUAUUGGUCAAUGGACGAGAGUCUGAACCAGCCAAGUAGCGUGAAGGAUGACUGCCCUAUGGGUUGUAAACUUCUUUUAUAUGGGAAUAAAAUGUUCCACGUGUGGGAUUUUGUAUGUACCAUAUGAAUAAGGAUCGGCUAACUCCGUGCCAGCAGCCGCGGUAAUACGGAGGAUCCGAGCGUUAUCCGGAUUUAUUGGGUUUAAAGGGAGCGUAGGUGGGUUGUUAAGUCAGUUGUGAAAGUUUGCGGCUCAACCGUAAAAUUGCAGUUGAUACUGGCAGGCUUGAGUACAGUUGAGGUGGGCGGAAUGCGUGGUGUAGCGGUGAAAUGCUUAGAUAUCACGAAGAACUCCGAUUGCGAAGGCAGCUCACUAAACUGCAACUGACACUGAGGCUCGAAAGUGUGGGUAUCAAACAGGAUUAGAUACCCGUGUAGUC
rnacentral:rRNA from 1 species